rnacentral:tRNA from 1 species
GUGGUUGUGGUUCAGCGGUAGAGCACUUGUCUAGCAUGCGUGAAGCUCUGGGUUCCAUCCUCAGCACCACA